AUCAGGGUCGUUACGCUUCGGACGACGUUCUCCAUGAAUUCCAGUUUGAUAGGUUCGAGUCGGAUGGGGCGACGUCAGGGUUAUAAGCAGGGAGAGUUUGAUUGGUUCGAGUCGGAUGGGGCGACGUCAGGGUAUAAGCAGGGAGAGGCAACUAUAUUUUAUCACAUUUCAUCUUUCAGCUUUGAUUCUGGUGAUGAUAUAACAAGUUUAUUAUUUUUCAAGGAAUCCCUGCAUACUACUAAUCAACAUAGUGAAUGUUUUAAUUUGAUUGGUUCGAGUCGGACGGGGCGACGUCAAGGUUUAUAAGCAGGGAGAGGCAACUAUAUUUUAUCAAAUUUCAUCUUUCUGUUUUGGUUCUGAUGAUUAUAUAACAAAUUUUAUUACUUUUGAAGGAUAUCCCUGGAUACUAGUCCACAUCGUGAAUGUUUUACUUUGAUUGGUUCGAGUCGGUUGGGGCGACGUCAGGGUUAUAAGCAGGGAGAGGCAACUAUAUUUAAUCACUUUUCUCCUUUCAACUUUGAAUCUUUGGAUGAUAUAAUAAAUCAAUUGGUUUUGAGAGGAAAGGUUUCAUUUAACUGGCUGGAGUCAGAUAGUGCGAUAUCAAGAUUAUAAGCGGGGAGAGGCAACUAUAUUUUUAUUAUGUUUCUUCGUUCAGCUUUGAAUCUUUGAAUGAAAUAAUUAUUAGUUUUGAGGCAAAAUACUCCUUGCAUCCUAAUCGAUAUCUAAAUCCUAAUCGUCGAAGUCUGGUAUAAGCAGGGAGAGGAAAGACGCUGAAGGCUUAUGCUCUGAAUUUUGCUUGAGCAGUUGGAAACCGAUGAAUAAUCAUAUUUUACGACAGUAUAAUAACUAUUAGUUUUAAGUUACAAAAAACCUUUCCUGCCUAAUUUCAUACGUUUGAGUUUUUUAUCCGAACGGUGAGUGCGGCGCUACGUCAGGGUAUAAGCAGGGAGAGGCAAGACGCUGAAACUUCUUCUUUAAAAAGGACUGAAUCUUCCUGUUGGGAAUUUUGCUUGUGUCAAUUGGAAAGCGACGAUUAAUCACAUAUUAAAAUAAGCAUAGAAUUUAUAUGAAGUUUCAGUUAAAAAACAACCCUCCAUAAUCAAGGUAUCCAAAUAGGGCAGCGUCAGGGUUAUAAGCAGGGAGUGGAAAUACCUUGAAUGAUAACGCUGUGAAUUUGCUCUGUGCCAAGGGGAAACGGUGAACAUUGGCGUUGUCGGGAUUGAUGCUGAUUGAUUUGUCACAUGGCAUAAUGCAGGGAAAUAAGCAGGGAGAGGCAUGAGCCAAAGCCAACAAUGAGAAAGAGUGCUUUCUUGUUGCAUCAGUUUCUAUUUCAAUUGAUGAAAGCAAAUAAUUUUAUUAUUAGUACUUCAUAGAAGUAACGCGAGGAACUAGAACAAAGUGCGGAGUGUAUUACAACUUAAAUAAACACAAAAAAACGCGGAUUGCGAGGCGUCAGGGUUAUAAGAUAGGUGAGACAAGACACUACCUCUUUCCAUUUUGCAAAUUUGGUCUGUAUCAAGCGAGUGGUUUGAAGUGACUUUGGUCUCCUGGCUAGAGCUCAGGGUAUAAGCAGGGCGAGGCAAAACUUUUCCUAUAAUUCUGAGGCCGCGGUGACCGAGUGGUUAGGACCGUCUCGUAUAUGCCAGCGGUUCUGAGUUCGAAUCCGGGCAUAGCCCGUGGCUUUUCAAUUUAAAAUAAUAUGAAAAAAGUAUUGCAAAAUGGUUAACUGUGGUAGUUGGGUGAUAAACCUCCCCGCAGGAAUUCAUUUACGUUUUGCGUAUAAUUUUAUACGAACGGUGUUUCCAUUUAAAUAAAUCACGAAUUGUGAUCGAUAAUCUUCGAGGAGUAGCUUACAUUCUCACGUAAUUCAGCAUUAGUCACCAAUACUAAAGUUCUUAAAAGCUGGAAUUUUUCUUUUAAAACUGAAACGUAUGAUACACUUCAGGAUUGAACCUAAAAAAGCACUAUAUUGUUAAAAACAAUUAACAAAAUUUUAUUUAGCGAAUUCCGUAAAAAAAGCCUCCAAUAUCAAAAAUAUAUUUGGCAUUUUUCGAACUAAUGAAUGGAGGACACCUGGUUAUCAUUCAAGUGUCACUUUGUAUACAGAUUAGCUUUAAAAUUUCUCAAAAUCAAUUCUUUAAAUUUUUUUUCUUAAACGUCAGAUCAGUCCGGAAAAAUUGUAACGGUUGCGAACUUGGACGUGUAAGGAAACUGGAACACCUUCGGGAUUGUCAUUAAAGUCACUCGGACAUUCCAGUGUUACACAAAUUGUUCAACGGUCUUCUGAGUUUUAUUUAUAAAUUUGAACUAAUUCAAGGCGUUGCUUUUCGAAAUGGAAUCUCACUUUUAUUUUUCUUUACUUUCAGCCAACCGCAUGCUGACAAAAGGAAUUUGUCCAAAACGCAACAAAACUUGUUAUCGUUAAUUAAAUUGAGAAUGAUCAACAGCCAGCUCCUUGCUGUCUCCUGGAUUUCAAGGUCUGCACCAAUCUCCACAAUGCUCAGUCCACACUCCAAGGAUAAUCGGGGCAAGUCUUUUAUUUUUUACAAGGAUUUAAGGAGGAUUUUUUUUUUUUGAAACGGUAGUUUCGUUCAAAUUUUUUCACGGCGCUUAGAACUUCUCAUUUUACCAUUGAAUACCAGUGAGAUUAUUUGCUACAUUAAAUUGUCAUCAUGACAUAUAAAAGGCCAUUGGUGAAAUAGUUGUAGAAAGGUUGUGAAGAAAAUAUGUAACAAGUAGAGAUUUUUAAAAAAUGAAAUAAAAUGAAAGGUCUUCAUCAGGGUAGCGUCCUAGGAUCAAUUUUGUAUCUAUUUUUUACCAGUGUUCUGUCCCCACCAAAAAUCACCCUUUUAGCAAUAUUCACUGACAGACACGACAGCUUUUUUUGAAAAAUAGUAUUAACUAUGAUAUGGUUGAAAACAGUGAUUUCCAAGGUGGUUUGGAUGUAAUUUUAAAUCAUUAAAUUCACCAAUUUCGUGGUCCGCUUGACCAAUUAAUAUAUUAAA